rnacentral:lncRNA from 1 species
GGGAAUGAGAAUCAGUGGUGAGAGCUUGUGGAGAAAAUUCACUUGGGAAUAAGAUUUUAGUCAUAUUUCCUUAUUUAUCUUUUGAAGGGAAUUAAAAGUGGGAGUUUAAGCGAGACUUCGUAUCCUUUGUUUGGUAUGGGCGGUUUACGGGUGGAAAAUUAUAUCUUCAGUCAUGAUUAACGAUGUAGAGGCAUCCAUCUUCCACUUAAAAUAAAUUCCCACCUGAUUCCCACUCAUCCCCAUGGGAAGUGAUGGGUGGGAGUUGCUUCUCUAAACUCACAUUCCUUGUCCCACUAAAAUUUCCAUAUCCACUAAAUAAACAAUAGAAUUUUAAUCUCUCACAUAUAAACUUCCUUUCCCUCCCACCAAUUACCUCCAACCAAAUGAGCUGUCAAGU